rnacentral:lncRNA from 10 species
CAGAGGAAAUCAGCAUAAGAUCCAUCAAAUGGCCAAGGUGGGUGGCUCACACCUGUAAUCCCAGCACUUUGGGAGGCCGAGGUGGGCAGGUCACUUGAGGCCAAGAGUACGAGACCAGCCUGGCUAACAUGGUGAAAACCCAUUUCUACUAGAAAUACAGAAAUUAGAUGGUCAUGGUGAAGCACGCCUGUAAUCCCAGCUACUCAGGAGGCUGAGGCAGAAGAAUCACUUGAAUCCGGGAGGCAGAGGUUGUAGUGAGCCGAUAUCGUACCACUGCACUCCAGCCUGGGUGACAGAGUGAGACUCCACCUCAAAAAAGAAUAAAAUAAAGACCCAUCAAACAAAAAAUGUCAUUCAAAUGCAAACAGUCCUUUCUACUGCCAUUGCCACGACGGUAGUCCAGUGCCUCAUGACCCCAAUCCUAGAACGAUGCAGUAGGCUCUCAGCUCUCUCAGCUCAGUGCUUUUCAAAUCCUGGAUGCAGAUGACGAUCAUCCAACUACAGAUUCUCAGGCCACCCCAGGCAUACCAAGUCAGAAUCCUUGGGGGCUAAAAAAAUAAGGAAAGAAAGAAAAAAAGGAAGAAAAAGAAACAGGCAGAAAUAGGUCCUUGUCUUGGAAGGAACACUGAGCACUGGGUAAAGAGUCUCACCCAGGUCUCAUCUCUACCUUUCUGUAAAAAGAAAAAGCCUUCAACAGAUGCUGUUUCUUUAGUCACUUCAACCACAGGAAGAUGUCAAAUUCAGAAUGGCAUUUUUCACUUAUAAGAAAAAGAUCUGAAAACCCAAACUUGGAAUCUCAAAGAAAGCUUAAGUGGAAAGGACAUCUUUCAAUAACCAACAUCAUCAUCUUUCCCAUGUACUACCAUCCCAACAGACAGAGACAUCCAGGGAGUCCUGCUCUGUGAAGCACUUUUCAGGAAACAAUCAGCUUAAGACAUCACCCAUCCAAUUCACUUUGACUCUGAUGAACAGUGUCAUCGCUCCUCAGAAAAAUGAAACAGGAGUGGCAUAUAGUCAUGAUGACAGCCAGCUAACCAUUGGGAUCACAUGAAUAAGAGUGCAUCUUACAGAUUCGAGGAAAUCUGAGAACAUUUACAGAGCAUCCAGUGAGUGCCAAGAAUUUUAUAUGUGCCAUAUAGCACGUAAUCUUCACAGUCACACUCUCAAAAUCCAUAUUAUAAACUCCACCUCACAGAUGUUAAUAAGUGACUUCAUAUGGCAAGGUUUGUUUUCUCGCUUCAAAUGAACCACAUCCAGUAGGUAAAGGCCAAAGCCACACUGCAGAGACAUGAUGACAAAGGGUGGUCAUAGCCUCAAAAACAUGUUCUUCCAACGUCGUUAUGAAUGCCAUUCCAAUUAACUUCCCCACUAUUCCCUGGAAAAAUAUCCUUUGACCUCUGCUCAGACAACGUGGGAAGCCCUGUUUUGAAGCAAAUCUGUGGUAUGAGGAGAUGAAAACCUAGCCUAGGACAGAUGCACUGACAGAGUGGGAUUCUUGAGAAGUAUUGCAAAGUUAGGUAGAACUUGGUGAUCAAGUAAAUUACAACUGUUACAAGAUAAUAAACAAAGAAUUUGAUCCCCC